UAACGCGUGAGGAACCUGCCUUCCAGAGGGGGACAACAGUUGGAAACGACUGCUAAUACCGCAUGAUACGUUGGAGCCGCAUGACUCCGAUGUCAAAGAUUUAUCGCUGGAAGAUGGCCUCGCGUCUGAUUAGCUAGUUGGUGAGGUAACGGCCCACCAAGGCGACGAUCAGUAGCCGGACUGAGAGGUUGGCCGGCCACAUUGGGACUGAGAUACGGCCCAGACUCCUACGGAAGGCAGCAG
rnacentral:rRNA from 1 species